CUUCUGUAAUAUUUAACUGGGCAGAUUCUAAGUAAAGAUUUCUCUCUGGUAAGAACUAUGGUGUUGGCUGUUUAUUUGUAAUAUCGGGUAGAAUACCUUCGUAGUGCUAGUCAUAUAUUUAUCUGGACAAGGGGAUAAAGAUAUAUGUUAGUUCUUGGAAGAGGUGACACAGGGAUAUUACAUUCACUAUUAAUACACAACGCAGAGUGGAUU